GGCUUGUUAGCUCAGGUGGUAAGAGCGUCGUGUUAGGAACACGGAAGACAUGAGUUCGUUCCUCAUACAAGUCA
rnacentral:tRNA from 1 species